AUGUCCCUUAAGAACAGGAGCAGAAAUCGUUGGGUCAACCAAUUGAUUAUUCCAAACACAAGUGAGUGGAAUAGGCCUUUGAUUCAUAGUUUGUUCCAUGAGUUUGAUGCUCUAGAGAUUUGCAAAAUUAGGAUACCAUCAAGUCUUGUUGAUGAUGUGCUAGCGUGGAAUCAUGAAAAGAAUGGUAAUUUUACGGUGAGAAGUGCGUACAAUUUGGGGCUGAACCUGAAAAAUUCUACAGGCUGGGAAAAAUUAUCACAUAGCCACGGCAAUGGAAGAGUGUCUCUUUGGAACCUCAUAUGGAAAGCACACAUCCCCCACAAGAUCAGAAUUUUUGCUUGGAGAACUGCUACUGAUUCCUUACCAACAAAAGAAAACAAAUUGAAGCGGACUUUGGAACACGAUAGUAUUUGCAAUAUUUGUGGUAGGGAGCCUGAGGAUGCAUACCAUGCUACUGUUCGCUGUACUAAAGCUAGAGCUAUCAGAGAAGCUAUGAGGAAAGUCUGGCCUUUGCCAAAAGAAGAAUGCUUCGAUCGUUCAGGACCCGAUUGGUUGCUGAUGUUACUUAGCCAAUGUGAUAACACCUCCAAAGAGAGAAUCUUGUUGUUGUUAUGGAGAGCCUGGUACUUACGUGAUGAUAUAGUGCAUCAUAAAGGUACUGCUUCCGUUGCCGAAUCUGUCAUCUUCUUGUCUAAUUAUUGGUACUGCCUUAACGGAGACAUUAAUUCUGCCCAUGACUUGAAGGGCAAAACUCCUGUGGCUGCAAUUCCUAGAGCGAAAUCUGAAGUUAGUGCCCAUGCUUCCAAUUGGACCAGGCCCCUGUUGGCGUUAUGA
rnacentral:rRNA from 1 species